AAAAAAGUGCUGCCCUUUCCUCUGCUAGGGUUUUGCCCUAACUUCUGCCGCCGCUCGAACAUGCCACCGCUCGAAAACUCACGAUCCCCGUCCAAACUCCGAUCGUGACGAAGCGAACAGGAAUCCGACGGUCGACCUAAAGGUGAAUCUUCACUUCUCUAUUCUCUUUUUAUUAUUUUUGCAUAAAACGAAACGAAGAAGAAAAUAAAAAAACUGAGAAUCACAUUCCAAAAUACUGGUAUUCGAUUUCUUCUUUUGUUUUUGUAUUUCAAUAUGUGUGUAACGAAAAAAAAGAUCCUUUUACAGAUUUCGUUGGCCCUUUUUUUAUAGCCGAAAAAAAUCCAAAAAUAAUAGAAAUACAAUGUUUUUCUUUGUCUCUGCUGCGUUGUUUGCUCUGUUUGCAGGUACGUUCGUACGGUGACGUGGCGCGACGCGUACGGAGGCAGAGGCUGGCGUGGAGCGGCUCGGAGGCGUGGUUGCGGCGCUAGAGGCUGAAUGCUGCUAGGGUUUGCUGCUGUGCAUUCUGGUGUUGGGCCAUUUGGGCUGAGUUGGUUUGCUGGGCUUAGAAUCAGGUUUAGGUUUCGGCUAGAGUCUAGGCAAAUUGGGUUUGGUGAAAUUGUUUGUAAUUUGGACUGUUAUUUUAUUUGUUUUUUUAUUAUUUAUUUUAAUAGCAGAC
rnacentral:lncRNA from 1 species